rnacentral:rRNA from 1 species
AGUAGUUUGAUCCGUGGCUCAGGACGAACGCUGGCGGCAUGCCUAACACAUGCAAGUCGAACGGAGUUUAAGGGGCUUGCUCCUUAAACUUAGUGGCGGACGGGUGAGUAACGCGUGAGCAACCUGCCUCUCAGUGGGGAAUAAUGUACUGAAAAGGACACUAAUACCGCAUGACGUACCGGAGUCGCAUGGCACUGGUACCAAAGAUUUAUCGCUGAGAGAUGGGCUCGCGUCCGAUUAGCUGGUUGGUGAGGUAACGGCUCACCAAGGCGACGAUCGGUAGCCGGACUGAGAGGUUGAACGGCCACAUUGGGACUGAGACACGGCCCAGACUCC